CCCUGUCCGACUCAGACUUUGAAAACCCAUUACCAACAAAACUAAAAUGUCUUCUGCUGAAUUAUUAGUAUAGUCUAAAGUUUAGUGAAAACUGGGCUAGGUAAACAAUGGCCAGACUGAUUCAGAUUUAGUCUAGACUUGACAGUGAAUGAAAAUCAAUUUGUUUGACAACUCGGAAACAUCAUGGCGCCAUUAUGUCUGUUCAAUGUAUCUACUUUGUCCAAUAAUGUCUGUCUGAACUAAUCUUGCAAAAGUCACUCUUUGCAGGUAGACACAUUUUUUUUUCAAUGAAUUUUCUCACUAACAAUAAAUAAAUAUCAAAGCCUUUUCUCUAGCCUGGUAAUCAACUGACUGUUUAGUCCUAAGCUCAAUCUUCAUUUUGUGUACAGUGGCUAGCUAACCUACAGUUUUUUGCUGGUUGUUUUUUUAAGCUGAUAUAUUUAUUUUGUUGUUCAAAACAACAAACUAAUUGAUUGGAUUCAAAUGUUGAUGUUAUGAGCUUGUAAUAUAUAUACGUAUCCAGGGGGCUGAGGAGGCUUGUAAAUAUACAUAUAUAUUUAAGAUAUGUAUGUAGGUCACAGCUGGGGUUGCUAACCACCGGAAAUACUGCAUAGACUGACGUGUAAACUGCUUGUAAAGCAUGCAUAGAAAUAAAGAGACCUGGUCCAGAGACUGGCGACCACUGCCCAGCUCAUCUUAGAUCUAGUCUAGGAACUCUCUACACAAUAAAGAAGAAAUUAAACAAAUAUUAUUACAUUGGUAUUAUUGUACUAAACUAGUUUGUUAUGACGCUAUUAUCACUCCAAUUGGUCGAGUUGAUCUUUUGCCGUUGUUACGUUAGUUAAGUGGCAAUAAAUGAUUGUCUAGAAAAUGCACCUCAGACGUAGGAAUAUCACCAAAGGCACUACAGACGUAGGCACUACAUUAGGCAUGCCACUCAAAGGCACAAGCGAUGUAGGUACUACGGACGUAGGCAUACCAAUCUAAGGCACACUAAACAAAGACAUUCGACACAUUAUCAUACUAAACAAAGACACGUCACACUACAUACAUCAGCACACUAAACAAAGACACGUCACACUACAGACAUCAGCACACUA
rnacentral:sRNA from 1 species